GACAGAGGUGCCGAGCGUUAGGCGGAAUCACUGGGCUUAAAGCGUGUGUAGGCGGAUCGUUAAGUGUCUUAGUCGAAAUCCCACGGCUCACCGUGGAAUGGCUGGGCAUACUGGCGAUCUUGAGCGGCCUAGGGGCAGAUGGAACAAGUGGUGGAGCGGUGAAAUGCGUAGAUAUCACUUGGAACGCCAAAGGUGAAGACAGUCUGCUGGGGGCCUGCUGACGCUGAGACACGAAAGCCAGGGGAGCGAACGGG
rnacentral:rRNA from 1 species